rnacentral:rRNA from 1 species
GACGAACGCUGGCGGCGUGCUUAACACAUGCAAGUCGAACGGAGAGGCCCUGCUUUUGUGGGGUGCUCGAGUGGCGAACGGGUGAGUAACACGUGAGUAACCUGCCCUUGACUUUGGGAUAACUUCAGGAAACUGGGGCUAAUACCGGAUAGGAGCUCCUGCUGCAUGGUGGGGGUUGGAAAGUUUCGGCGGUUGGGGAUGGACUCGCGGCUUAUCAGCUUGUUGGUGGGGUAGUGGCUUACCAAGGCUUUGACGGGUAGCCGGCCUGAGAGGGUGACCGGCCACAUUGGGACUGAGAUACGGCCCAGACUCCUACGGGAGGCAGCAGUGGGGAAUAUUGCACAAUGGGCGGAAGCCUGAUGCAGCAACGCUGCGUGCGGGAUGACGGCCUUCGGGUUGUAAACCGCUUUCGCCUGUGACGAAGCGUGAGUGACGGUAAUGGGUAAAGAAGCACCGGCUAACUACGUG